UGGGGAAUCUUCGACAAUGGGCGCAAGCCUGAUCUAGCGAUGCCGCGUGAGUGACGAAGGCCCUAGGGUCGUAAAGCUCUUUCGCCAGGGAUGAUAAUGACAGUACCUGGUAAAGAAACCCCGGCUAACUCCGUGCCAGCAGCCGCGGUAAUACGGAGGGGGUUAGCGUUGUUCGGAAUUACUGGGCGUAAAGCGCGCGUAGGCGGACUAUUAAGUCAGGGGUGAAAUCCCGGGGCUCAACCCCGGAACUGCCUUCGAGACUGGGCGGCUGGAGACCGGAAGAGGAGGGUGGAAUACCCAGUGUAGAGGUGAAAUUCGUAGAUAUUGGGUGGAACACCAGUGGCGAAAGCGGCUCUCUGGUCCGGUUCUGACGCUGAGGCGCGAAAGCGUGGGGAGCAAACAGGAGUAGAUACCCGUGUAGUCC
rnacentral:rRNA from 1 species